rnacentral:rRNA from 1 species
UACGAGGGGGGGCAAGCGUUGUUCGGAAUUAUUGGGCGUAAAGGGUGCGUAGGCGGUUUGGUAAGUCUGAUGUGAAAUCUAUGGGCUCAACUCAUAGUCUGCAUCGGAAACUGCCGGGCUUGAGUAUGGGAGAGGUGAGUGGAAUUCCGAGUGUAGAGGUGAAAUUCGUAGAUAUUCGGAAGAACACCAGUGGCGAAGGCGACUUACUGGACACGUAUUGACGCUGAGGUGCGAAAGCGUGGGGAGCAAACAGGG